UAUAUAUAUAUAGACAUAUGCAUGCAUGUAGUCUCUAUAGUUUUAAAUCCAUUUCUUUUUUAUUAUUUUCAAUUUAUUUAUCCAUCAAAUCAAUGGAAAUUCUCAUUUUCAGACACUUGAAAAGCGCACAAAAUAGAAAAAAUAAAAUAAAAAAUCAACAAAAUUGAAAAACCAAUGUAAAAACUUGAAGAAACUAAGAACUGCAACAUUCUUCUAUAUAUAAUUAAUUAAAUCCGUCAUUGCUGAGAAUUUCAUGCACUUGAUACAUAUUCAAGAAACUAAGAACAGCAACAUAUUUAUUUAAUUCGACUCAAACACUCAAACACAAACACAUACAUAAAUUUACACAC